UACAGAGGGUGCAAGCGUUGUCCGGAAUCACUGGGCGUAAAGGGCGCGUAGGCGGCCUGAUAAGUCAGGGGUGAAAUUCUGCGGCUUAACCGCAGGACGGCCUUCGAGACUGUCGGGCUUGAGCACGGUAGAGGCAGGUGGAAUUCCCGGUGUAGCGGUGGAAUGCGUAGAGAUCGGGAAGAACAUCGGUGGCGAAGGCGGCCUGCUGGGCCGUUGCUGACGCUGAGGCGCGAAAGCCAGGGGAGCAAACGGG
rnacentral:rRNA from 1 species